CCUACGGGAGGCAGCAGUGAGGAAUAUUGGUCAAUGGACGCAAGUCUGAACCAGCCAUGCCGCGUGCAGGAAGACUGCCCUAUGGGUUGUAAACUGCUUUUGUACGGGGGUAAACGCAGAUACGCGUAUCUGUCUGAAAGUAUUGUACGAAUAAGGAUCGGCUAACUCCGUGCCAGCAGCCGCGGUAAUACGGAGGAUCCAAGCGUUAUCCGGAUUUAUUGGGUUUAAAGGGUGCGUAGGUGGUCGGAUAAGUUAGUUGUGAAAUCCUGAGGCUCAACUUAAAAAUUGCCAUUGAUACUGUUAGGCUUGAGUGUAGUUGAGGUAGGCGGAAUGUGUGGUGUAGCGGUGAAAUGCUUAGAGAUCAGACAGAACACCGAUUGCGAAGGCAGCUUACCAAGCUACUUCUGACGUUGAGGCACGAAAGCGUGGGGAUCAAACAGGAUUAGAUACCCUAGUAGUC
rnacentral:rRNA from 1 species